rnacentral:rRNA from 1 species
CCUACGGGAGACAGCAGUGAGGAAUAUUGGUCAAUGGGCGGAAGCCUGAACCAGCCAAGUCGCGUGAGGGAUUAAGGCCCUGCGGGUCGUAAACCUCUUUUGCCGGGGAGUAGUGGUCCGGACGCGUCCGGUCCUGAGGGUACCCGGAGAAAAAGCAUCGGCGAACUCCGUGCCAGCCGCCGCGGUAAUACGGAGGAUGCGAGCGUUAUCCGGAUUCAUUGGGUUUAAGGGGUGCGCAGGCGGGCCUUUAAGCCGGCGGGGAAAUCGCGGGGCUCAACCCCGCCGAGCCGUCGGAACUGGGGGCCUUGAGUGCGGCGGAGGCAUGCGGAAUGCGCGGUGUAGCGGUGAAAUGCAUAGAUAUCGCGCAGAACCCCGAUUGCGAAGGCAGCGUGCCGUGCCGCCACUGACGCUGAGGCGCGAAAGCGCGGGGAUCGAACAGGAUUAGAUACCCCUGUAGUC